GACGAACCGUGCGAACGUUGUUCGGAAUCACUGGGCAUAAAGGGCGCGUAGGCGGCUCGCGAGGUCGGGGGUGAAAUCCCACAGCUUAACUGUGGAAGUGCCUUCGAUACUGGCGGGCUCGAGGAAGGUAGGGGUGCGCGGAACUUCUGGUGGAGCGGUGAAAUGCGUUGAUAUCAGAAGGAACGCCGGCGGCGAAAGCGGCGCACUGGACCUUUUCUGACGCUGAGGCGCGAAAGCCAGGGGAGCAAACGGG
rnacentral:rRNA from 1 species